GGCCUUCUGUCCAGCAUGUGCUGCUACAGACAAGCUCCCUGGGGCAUCUCCACUGGCCACCUGCGCACCCUCCUUCCUGGGUCCUUCCCGGUCCCCCCACCCACUGGCUGCCUGCACACCCUCCUUCUUGGGUCCUCCCUGGCCCCCUACCCGCCGUCUAACGUCUGCUCCUCACACGGUCCUGGCCCAGGUCGCGCCUGCCCCUUCACAUCCGGACCCGGGGGUGCUCCCCAGCCUCCCCUCCCUUGGCCUGUCUGGCCCUUGUCAGGCUUGCCCCCUCCGUGUCCCUCCUCCGGGCUGCCUGCCUGCUCCCUCCCAGGCCCCUCUCCCGGGGCCGCCCUGUACAGUCGGGGCCCCUCGCACCUCUGCUUGAAGUCCUCCUCCUGCCUCUUGGGGUGCAUCUCUUGGGUGCCUCUUCCACGUGGACAUGCCCAGCUCUGAAACCCCAUCUCUGCUGAGCCCCCGCCACCCAGGACCCCGACUCCUCCGUCUUGGCACUUUCCUAUCUGAGUCCUUAGCCCCUGGCAGCAUCUAAAAGGCCUUUGAUGCCCCUGCCCCAACCUGUCCUGCUCUCUCCUUCAACCCUCAGCCCAGGGUCGCCAUCUGCAGAAGCCUCCCUGCCCCCGUGCUGGUGCCCUGGGUUUAUUGCACUGCAGCGCUGGUGCUGCUCCUGGGGCUCCCAGAACAGUCUCCCCCUCCAGGCAGCAGCUGUGCCCCUCACCUGGACUGCAGUCUGGCACGUGGUGGGCACUCACUACCUGGAUAUUUGGGGGCUUGCAGCUUUGACCUCCUCAUGCUGCUGUGACCUCCCCAUCUCUGCUAAGGUAAAGAUCAACAUGCAACACACCCAGGAGGCACCCCAUCGAGCAAUUAGGAAGCUGGAGAGAAUGGGAAGAUGAAAAUGUUUAUUCAAAAAUCAAUAGAUUUAUCCUAAAAGGGUUAGAGAAGCAUAAGAGUAAAGUCUGGUCCCGCUGCAGCCCCGAGUCACUCUGUGGCAAGGAACAGAUAAUAAUGACCUGGAUCUUCCCAUCAGCUAAGACAGUAAUUGCACACUUUUCCUGGCCCCAAACAGGUCCAACUUGUAAAUCAUGCAGUAAUAUAGUAACUAUAAUAAUGAAGAUUCAUUCAACAAACUUGUGUUGGACUCAUUGAGCUGGCGGCUGGUCUCUGAGCCACAGAGCUGGAUAUAAAGCUUUGCCCUCAGGGACGCAGACUCGGAUGGAGUGGAUUUCAAGUGCUUCAUCAGCGAUCCAUCAGAAGAAAUGCAGGUCACAUGUGACCAAGAGCACAUUCCUGUGUGGUCUGGAGCAGAAAGUCAUGAAACAAUAUUCACUUUUACUUUGCAUUAUGUACUCUGAUAUUUUCUAUUCCUGCCUAUUUUAUUGAAAAAGAAAAAGUGCUGGUUGCAACCUUGAAAUUGAUUUCACGACUCAUUACUAAUGGACUGUGACCCGAAGUCUGAAAAUUCUGAUCUAACAUGAGGGCAGCAGGGAAAAGUUGUUCAAGAGAAAGAAGGUGCCCCAUGUUGAGGUAGAGGAGGGCAGGGCUCCUCCGGCUGGGAGAUCAGAAAGGGCCCCACCGCAGAGGUGGCCCUGAAUGAUGGAGGGACACUUAAGUGGAGAAAGGUUGACUUGGGAAAAGUAAUUGUAUUUGUAAUAGUGGGUAAAUUAUUAUGUCAUUAUUAUUAAUAUAAUAUAAACAGCAUUAUCCUUCUCAAGGGGUUUUCCCACCCAUAGCUUAUUGGGUCACCUUGAACUUGUGACCAACUUAGAUGAGAUAUAACUAUGUUUUAUCAAUGUGGAAACAGAGUCAGAGAGGUAAAGGAUUUUUCUCAAGGACACACAGCUCCUAGACUUUGGCAGAGCCAAGUUUGCACCUGGGUCUGCCCGGACCGCAGCCUGUGGAGUCCCAGCAGCAGGAAGCGGCAGGCUGAGCUCUGCUUCACUCCUGGUGAUGGGAGGCUGGGAGCCGCACAGAGAGCGAGUGCCCAGCAUGGACCGGUCUGCUCUCUCCCCCUGCUCUCUCUUCAUCUCUUCCUUUGGUUUCCCACUGUUCCUGUGGGUGCCUCUCUGGCUGAGGUCCUGGCCUCUGAUACUUGGGAGGCCUAUGGGGGUCAUGAGUCCCUCCGAAAGGUUUCAGCUGGCUCUCCCAAGUCACAACCAGAAGACCCCUCCUCUGGGGGUCUCUAUCUGGAGGAAUGAACUUGGCCACCCCAAGCGUCCCAUCCCGUGGCAUGGAUAACCAUUGCCCUGCUCCACCCCGAAACUUCCCUUGCUCUCUGAGAAUCCAGCCUCCUAAUCUGGAGGCCAGGGUUAAAGCUGAGUCUUUCUGUUCUCCAAGUACAAGAUCUGCUCUCUCCCAACCACCAGGCCGAACCCCCAGCUUCAUCUGUUUGACUUUCUUUCUCUCAAGGAACUUACAAUUUAAUCACGACUCCCUAAUAGUACACACAUUCUAAAUUGCAAUCAUUUAUUGCAUCUAGCCUGGGGCUCUUCUGUCUGUUAGAAAUAUCAGGGUUAUUUCCUUCUUUUAAGAGUUUAUGUUAAAAAAAACCCAAACUUUACAAAUAAUGUUUGCUGUUUAAUGUUCUCUCCUGAAAUAUCAAUCUGCAAAAAUAGAAAUCCUUUUUUACAAUUCAUCUGAAGGAUAGAGUUCCAGUUUCUUAUAAUGUAAUGAAUGUACUGCAGAUAAUGGUCCAAUAGUGCAAAUGAAAGGCGCGUAUAAUCAAAAUGAUAAUGGAACGUAUUGUACGGCUUGUAUAAUAAAAUCCAUACCAAUAUGGAAAUCAU